GUCACUGUAGCGCAAUGGAUACCGCGUUGGACUUCUAAUCCAAAGGUCGUGGGUACCCACAUGUGAUU